CCUACGGGUGGCAGCAGUGAGGAAUAUUGGUCAAUGGUCGCGAGCCUGAACCAGCCAAGCCGCGUGAAGGAUGACUGUCCUACGUAUUGUAAACUUCUUUUGUAAAGGAAUAAAGUCAGGCACGCGUGCCUUUUUGUGUGUACUUUAUGAAUAAGGAUCGGCUAACUCCGUGCCAGCAGCCGCGGUAAUACGGAGGAUCCGAGCGUUAUCCGGAUUUAUUGGGUUUAAAGGGAGCGGAGAUGGGUUGUUAAGUCAGUUGUGAAAGUUUGCGGCUCAACCGUAAAAUUGCAAUUGAUACUGGCAGUCUUGAGUACAGUAGAGGUAUGCGGAAUUCGUGGUGUAGCGGUGAAAUGCUUAGAUAUCACGAAGAACUCCGAUUGCGAAGGCAGCUUACUAAACUGCCACUGACAUUGAGGCACGAAAGUGUGGGUAUCAAACAGGAUUAGAUACCCUUGUAGUC
rnacentral:rRNA from 1 species